rnacentral:rRNA from 1 species
UACGGAGGAUGCAAGCGUUAUCCGGAUUUAUUGGGUUUAAAGGGUGCGCAGGUUGUUUGAUAAGUCAGUGGUGAAAGUCUGUCGCUUAACGGUAGGAUUGCCAUUGAUACUGUUAGACUUGAAUAUGGAUGAGGUAGGCGGAAUGUGUGGUGUAGCGGUGAAAUGCAUAGAUAUUACACAGAACACCGAUUGCGAAGGCAGCUUACUAAGCCAUAACUGACACUGAGGCACGAAAGCGUGGGGAUCAAACAGGAUUA